UUGUGAAUUAUUGUCUCUGCAGUUAAAUGUUUUUAGUGAAACUAAAUAUUUCCAUAUCUUGUGUUUCAGGGGAGGAUCACAUGCAGUGCAAAUUUUGCAAAUUCUCAAGCUCCAGUCAAGAGGCUCUUCUUUUCUACUAUUCCCUGCAUUACCACUCCAAUACAUGCUCCUCCAACACAACUAUACCACUAUACCAUCAGUCCUGAAAUUUGAAGUCAAAACCUCACAUUGUGAUUAAAGUUAAACUACAUUGUUCCGCUGAUUGUUUUUCAGAUAUCUGAAGAAUUUCGUCGAAUCACCAGCAAAGACCUCCUGGAGACUUUCAAUGCGUCCCUUGACAAAUAUGUUCCUCGCCUGCUCAGACUGUACCGGACAAGAAAGGGAGCUUUUGGUCAGCAAAUGGAAGACAUCCUGGAUAAGCUUGAUGAACAGACAUCAGACAUUUUGUCUCACCGAAAGACUGCAGCACUGAGAUGCCUCCCUGUUUUUGUCCGGGAUGACACAACCAAGUUUUUCCUGCAGCCUUUGGAAACUGACCCUGACGAAAGAGUGCUCAGAGGCGUGUCUGUGGGUCUCCUUGCUGUCCGUGAAGAAGAUGAUCCUGCUGUUUCACCAAACGUGCGGGACUGGGCUGUUGUGUUGGAAGGUUCCAUCGUGCUACAUGACCUGCCAGACCUCGGCACUGCCUUUGCAUACCUCUUUGGCCUACUGUAUGCAAUGAACAUUGAUUAUCCGAAGGAGAUGAGGUACACCUUUGAAGCAAUUCAGACCAUCUUUUUCGAACUUGGCUCUCAGUGCUCCCAGUGCACAAGGUCUCUGAAAACAAAGCUUUUGCUGUGACUCUUAAUGUGACUAUGUGGAAGCCAACCUUUGUUUUAUGCCUGUUCUAGUGCAUUGUGGUUGGUGCUUGUAAAUAUUCACAGCCAGUGAUUUAAAACUUGCAAGUCCUCACGGAAAACUUUAAAUAAUAUAUUUUUAUUUUCAAAAUUGUUUCAGGCACCAGUUUGCAAGAGGUGCAUAUAUCCACUGUCAACUGUUAGAGUUUGUGAUUGCUUUAGUAACACCUCCGUGUCUGUACACGCUUGCAUGUGUUCUCAUUUUAUGCAUGCCAUUCUCCUCUGCCUGUGAUAAAGAAAUGUGUGGGAUUAUCAGUUGCCAGUCCACAAAGCUCUGGAUUCUCAUUGGUUUUGUUUUUUAUAAAGUCAAGUUCCUUGAUUUAAUGUGCUACAAUGUUUCAAGUUCCAUGGUGGUGUUGGAACAUGUUUCUGAAUAAGAGAAAUACAAAGUUUUCAGAUACCUUUUGAUGUGUGCUAUUUAUUAUUCAUUUAGCAUUUCUUAAAUACAAUUACAGCAACAUUAAUGUUACUUGAUUUAUAAAGGAACUUUUCUCACUUAAG